rnacentral:lncRNA from 1 species
UUAUUUUGUAAUUUUUCUUUUUUUUAUUCUUUAUUUUAUAGUAUUGAAAGCAUGUGUAAUAAAUAUUGAAGUGCAGUAAUGAAAUAAACUUAUAAAUAGAAUUACAAAAUCAAGGAAUGUAAGGAUAUAAAAUUACAGGGGGUUACAUGCAAUAAUAACCUGAUAAUCAAAUAAUAAAAAAAAUGAAAUAAGACAAAAGUAUAGGUGUAGAGAAAACCAGGGUGCAUGCAACCCGUAGCUCUUUUCUUUCUGUUCCCGGUGCUCUUCUUGAAAUUGAAUUUUUUCUUUCUCUUUUUUUUUUUGUUCCCGUAUGCUCUCUUCCCGAAGUUCAAUUCUCUCCCUUUUGCUUGUUUGCAAGGUACAUAUUUAUAUACACACAUUUGUAAUAUUAUUGUGAUCUUGCCUUAAUGGCGAAUUAAUUGUCAAUUAGCAAAAUAUGGAAAUAAAUGGUCUUGAU